CGAGUGGCGAAAGGGCGAGGAAUACAUGGGCAACGUGCCUGAUGCGCGAGGAUAACUGCGGGAAGCUGCAGUUAAUACUCGAUAAGACCACAGCACCUUCGGGUGCAGGGGUCAAACGGUGGGGACCUUCGGGCCUACCGGCAUUUGAGCGACCCAUGUCCUAUCAGCUUGUUGGUGAGGUAACGGCUCACCAAGGCGACGACGGGUACCGGGACUGAGAGGUUGACCCGGCGCAUCGGGACUGAGACACUGCCCGGACUCCUACGGGAGGCUGCAGUAACGAAUAUUCCGCAAUGGGCGAAAGCCUGACGGAGCGACGCCGCGUGUGGGAGGAAGCCCUUCGGGGUGUAAACCACUGUCAGGGACUACCAAGCAAAGUUGGCGAAUAGCCUUCUGCGUUGAGGAGUCCCAGAGGAAGCCACGGCUAACUUCGUGCCAGCAGCCGCGGUAAUACGAAGGUGGCGAGCGUUGUUCGGAAUCACUGGGCUUAAAGGGCACGCAGGCGGACUGUAAAGCGUCUUGUGAAAGCCCCCGGCUUAACCGGGGAAUUGCUAGGCGAACUGGCAGUCUUGAGGCAGGUAAGGGCGAGUGGAACUCUUGGUGGAGCGGUGGAAUGCGUAGAUAUCAAGAGGAACGCCGGAGGCGAAAGCGACUCGCUGGGCCUGACCUGACGCUGAGGUGCGAAAGCCAGGGUAGCGAACGGGAUUAGAUACCCCGGUAGUCCUGGCCAUAAACGAUGUCCACUAGAUCGGUGAACUUCUGACAGUGCGCCGGUCGAAACAAAAGCGGUUAAGUGGACCGCCUGGGGAGUACGGUCGCAAGGCUAAAACUCAAAGGAAUUGACGGGGGCUCACACAAGCGGUGGAGCAUGUUGCUUAAUUCGAUGCAACGCGAAGAACCUUAUCCUGGACUUGACAUGUUUGGAUGCCUCCCUGGAAACAGGGUUGGUUGCCCUUCGGGGUGAAACAUUCACAGGUGCUGCAUGGCUGUCGUCAGCUCGUGUCGUGAGAUGUUGGGUUAAGUCCCGUAACGAGCGAAACCCUUGUCGUUAGUUGCCAGCGCGUAAUGGCGGGGACUCUAGCGAGACUGC
rnacentral:rRNA from 1 species